rnacentral:rRNA from 1 species
GUGGGGAAUAUUGGACAAUGGGCGCAAGCCUGAUCCAGCCAUGCCGCGUGAGUGAUGAAGGCCCUAGGGUUGUAAAGCUCUUUCACCGGAGAAGAUAAUGACGGUAUCCGGAGAAGAAGCCCCGGCUAACUUCGUGCCAGCAGCCGCGGUAAUACGAAGGGGGCUAGCGUUGUUCGGAAUUACUGGGCGUAAAGCGCACGUAGGCGGACAUUUAAGUCAGGGGUGAAAUCCCGGGGCUCAACCCCGGAACUGCCUUUGAUACUGGGUGUCUGGAGUAUGGAAGAGGUAAGUGGAAUUCCGAGUGUAGAGGUGAAAUUCGUAGAUAUUCGGAGGAACACCAGUGGCGAAGGCGGCUUACUGGUCCAUUACUGACGCUGAGGCACGAAAGCGUGGGGAGCGAACAGGAUUAGAUACCCUUGUAGUCC